AUCAAGCGUCUUAUGGAUCUUGGUUGUUAUCGUGGUCUCCGCCAUCGUCGUAGCCUGCCUCUCCGUGGGCAACGUACUAAGACCA
rnacentral:tRNA from 1 species